rfam:Aureobasidium pullulans var. melanogenum CBS 110374 unplaced genomic scaffold scaffold_1, whole genome shotgun sequence.
UCCGAUAUGGUCUAGUGGCUAGGAUUUCUCGCUCUCAAACAGUACUUCUGUACGAUCAGGUCCGAGGAGGCCGGGGUUCAAUUCCCCGUGUCGGAA